AUGCAGGGCUGGAACCCAGGAACCGUGAGAUCAUGACCUGAGCUUUUAAGUCCAACACUUAACCGACUGCGCCACCCAGGAGCCCCAAAAGUCGGAAUUCUUAACCUUUUCUAUGCCUUAGACCCGGUCCCAGAAUGUUUUCAAUACAUAAAAUGAAAUAUAUAAGGUUACAAAGGAAUCUGAUUGUUUCUACAAAGCUAUUAAAAUCUUUUAAAUAGAAAUAUAAAUGUGUGAGAUGUAGAAUGUAUGCUUCUAAGUUAACACGUUUAAUAACGCACUGAAUAGCAACAAUUCCCAGAAUUUGUAAGUAGUGAGAUUAAAGCAUAUUUCCAGGUGUCUGCAACAACUGGAUUGUGAUUCAAAAACACCUGUGGCUUCUGUCUGAGAACAAAGCACAGACCCUGCUAAUCCUGCUGAGCUUUGUUGCCUUCAUUCAUCAUGAGAGAAAAGCUAAAUUUCAGCCAGAGGUUAGUGAAAAUAAAGAGGUUAUUUUUUUCCCUCCAAGUUGAGGCUCCCAAACUCAACAGGAUGCAUCUACAGAAGGAUUCAGCCCUCAGCUCCCCACAUGGAAAACACUUGAAGGAGAAUCAGCUUGGAUGUCUGGGAAGAAGAUUGGGGAAGAGUUUGGUCCUUGGAAUAGUGACCCCAAGGGCAUGGGCCACUGUGUCUCUGGGCCAAGAUUGUAUAACCAGUCUUGGUUUUCAAGUUACAUACAGCCUCUAGAGAUUCUACUUACAGCACCCCCAAGUCCUCAGGUGUGAUACAGGGGCAUAUGGGUGAUUCUAGUUCUGCGUGGCAGGAAUGGUCAUGAGUGUGGGCACAAAGGCCCUGUAGCCUUUGUAGGGAAUGGCCGGGAUUGACUUAGGGAGACAGGACUCCAAACCAAAGAGGAGGAAAGGAGUGGAGGAUAACCCCGGGGUUUACCAAACUGUAGGAGGGAGAUGGCACACAGAGGGGAGGUAGCCAGAGGUUUUUGGCUGCCUGCUCACAACACUCCUGGAUGCCAGUCUUUCCCUUUAGAAGCUAGGGAAUGAGGAAGUGGCUUUCAUGGGGCAGUUAUCAUGAGUGCUGCAGCAGGGAAGUUUGGAGUGGCCCAAACCUUAGAGGACUUGUUGAACUAAAGAAAGCUGGACCCCACCCCCAGAGCUUUUGAUUCAGUAGGGCUAGGUUGGGUCCUGCAAAUUUGCAUUUCUAGAAAAUUCCUAGGUGAUGUUGAUACAGCUGGUCCUGGAACCACACUAGAUUCACUAGCCUAGAAUGUUCUUUCCUCCUCACCAACUCCACUGCCUGGUAACUCACAGCUGGUGAGAUCCCCUCCAUGUUUCAGCCUAUAAGGCCCCUGACCCCAGCACAUUCCCACCCCAGGGUGUUUCUGGAGCCUGGUACUUCCUGCACCACAACGCUCAUCAGCCCUGCUCACCUUAUUGGACCUACUUAUUUAAUUGUUCAAUUGCCACCUCCUUGUCAGACCUGAGCUUCCUUGGGCCCAUGUCUGUCUUGGUUUCUCUCUGUCCCCACACACACCCCCACCUAGCUCAGUGCCUAGCUCAUAGUAGUAGGGGCUCAACAGAUGUUUGCCAAAUGAGUAAUGUCACAAGGGGAGAGGUCAGGACUGGCCCAGGUGAGCAAGUGUACAAAGCUGGGCAGGGCCAGGCAGAGCCAAGAGGGCAUGGGCUCUUCACCUGGCAGCACAUGAGCAUUACCUGGGAGGUUUCAGUGCCUGCUAAUGUCCUCUCCUCUUCCCUCCAAACCAACCAAAUGUGUGUCCGUAGCAGAAUUGUCAAAGCUGCCAGGAGGUACAGGGGCAGCUGGUUGGAAAACCUCUGGCAGAGAGAGUCCCUGGGGGCUGCCUGUGGUAGCUGAUGGCCCAGCUUCCUUAGCAAAGGUGGUGAUGGCAGAACUGGCUGACCUGAAGUUAGAAAACAAGCCAUGGCCUGGAGGGACACACUCUCUCCACUACCACUACCUGGCCCUAUCAGAGCCAGGCCCGGACCUUCCUCAGUUUCUGGCUGUAGGCUACGUGGACGACCAGCCUUUCAUCCAUUAUGACAGUCGUGUGGACAGAGCCAAGCCCCAGGCCCCGUGGAUGGCAGCUGUGGACACCCAGUACUGGGAAACAGAGACCCAGAAGCAGAGAGCCUGGGCAAAGGUGCAGCAGGUGGAGACAUGGACUGUGAUGGGCUACCACAACCAGAGCAGUGGCACACACAGCACUCAGCGAACGUUCGGCUGUGAGAUCCGGGAAGACGGCUGUACCAGCAGCUUCUGGCAGUUUGGCUUUGAUGGCCAGGACCACCUGUCACUGGACCUGGAGACUCUGAGCUGGGUGUCAGCCAAGCCUGUGGCUGUGCAGACCAAGCGUUGGUGGGAAACAGAGCGCUGCUAUGCCGAAUACGACAAGGCCUACCUGGAGGGCCUCUGCCUCACUUCCCUGCACAGGUACCUGGAGCUGGGCAGCCAGAGCCUCACCCGGAAAGAGCCGCCCAAAGUGCAAGUGACAAGACACACAGCUGAGGAUGGGAGCAUCACACUGAGAUGCUGGGCCCGGGGCUUCUACCCACGGGACAUCUCAUUGAGCUGGUGGCUGGGGGAGGAGGAACUGGUUCAAGAGACCGAGUAUGUGGAGACACGCCCCGGUGGAGACGGUACCUACCAGACAUGGGCGGCCGUGCGGGUGCCAGCCAGGAUGGAGAAUGGGUACAUUUGCCAUGUGCAGCACUCCAGCUUGAACCAUACACUCACUGUGGCCUGGGAAGCACCCUCUCAUCAGUGGAUAACCAGUGCCAAGGUUAUCUCCAUCAUCUUCACCAUCACUUUCUUGCUGGUGGCUGGAGUUUUGACUUUCAUCAAGCAGUACUCUCAAGCCAGGAAUAAGGAAUCUUGCAAACAAGCCCCAGGUGGAGAGGAGCCUCAUAAUUCCCAAAACCCAAUGAGCGUGGAGGCUGCUCAGCUGCUCUGCUGACACAAGUUCACUGUCACAGAUCAAGGAGGUGUUUUAUAGAGGGUUUGGGGGCAUCCAGUGUGCUAGCUGGCUGGCAGUGGUGAUCCAACUGUGAAGGGCCCACCCCACCUCAAAACUGAGCCCUCCUCAGCUCCGUCAGCCUCAUCACAAGCAGUCUGGGCCACUAAGAUAGAUUUGCCAUCUUCCUGAAGUCCUUUUAAAAGUCUAAUUGUCUCCAGUUUGGGGGCGUGGGAAGGAGGGCAGUAAUAAUUCCUCAGAUCGGUUCACACUUGACAAUUUGCACGAUAAUUUCAUGUAAAGUGUAAAUCCCACCUGAGCCUCUCAGGUACUCUGUGAGUUCGGUGAUGGUAUUCUCACCUCCACUUCCCCAACAUGGAAACCACAGCUAUGGGAAGUUAAGGAAGAACCAGAACAGUCAAGGAGUUAUGGGGGCAGCAUGGCCAAAUGCCUACCUCCUUUUAUAAAUGUGUUCUUGUGUGUAUGUAUAUUUUCUUUUAUAAAGAUUGGAGUGUUGGGGGGUGUGAGGAUAUGUGGUUCCUGCAGGGUGAGGGUGGGUGUGUGAGGACAAGGGGGUCCAUGAUGUGUGUGAGGGUGUGUAGGGAGUGACGGUGUAUGGGGGGGGUGUGUAGCAGGGGGUGACUUUGUGUGUAUGAGAAGUUCAAGGGACAGGUGCUCAGGGACCUGUUAGCCCAGGGCAGCUGAAGGAUGGAAAACAAUACAGUCAGUAUUUUCCAUCCUGUCCUCUUGAAUGGUUUGAAUUUUUACAAUAAGUACAUGUUACUUUUACAAUAAGGGGAAGAGAAGUUUCACUAUGUCCUGUGGAAAUGCUUGUUAAGAAUUCUUGUUAAGGAUGUGUCUGGGAAGGUCCAGCCUCUCCUUCUCUGAAUUUCAGUAUAGCAGAAACCCUACGUCUCCUUUGUAAAUAAGAAUCUCCUGGGGAGCACACAUUUUUGUUUAUUGAGAGAGCAGUUCAAGUCUCAUGGCCAGCCAGCAGAUGUGCAAAGGGAGAGGACUCCAGAGCCACAGCAGAGGGACCACUCCACUGGCAUAAAGGACACAAGGUUGUGCCCUUCACAGGGCACCCUCUGCCUCUCUGUAGAGCCCCAAGGCAUGACUAAGCCUCUUGUGGGGAUUUCUGAAACCUUCAUGUCUGCAGCCCUGGGAGGCCCCAAGCUGAAGGAUGUGAAAGAUUUGUGAUACUAGACAGAUUCAGCCUGCCCUGGUGGCCUGAAGAACCUCGGCAGUGAGCUUGCAACUAUGUGAUUGCACUGAAAAUGUGUCUCUAAUGUCUGUCUGCCUGUCUUAGUGCUGCCAUCAGGAUCCAUGCUGUGCUGGUUCUGAGCACUUUUACAUGUACUAAACUGUGUGAUCCUCAUAACACGCCUGUGUGGGAGAAUUAAUAAUCCUGUGCUACAGGUGAAGACAUUGAAGCCCAAGGUCGUAUGGCUGGUUUGUGCCAGAGCCAGGACAUGAAACCAGGAAGUCUGUGGCUGCAGUCUGGGCACUUCACUACUGCACCAAAAACCUCAAUGACAUCUGUGCCAUUCUGUAAAUGGUGAAAAUGUUGAGGCACAAGGUGGGUCUGGCCCACACCAAUGGAAGGCACAAGUGCCUGUGCUGUCCUUUGAAGAUGUGCUUAGGAUCUCCAGAGCAAAGGUCAAAACUCCAUCCCUGAGGAGCAUGAGGGCCCAGUGUAUUUGUGGAGAAGCAGAUGGGAGGAGGCUCUGAGUCCUUCCUGUCCAGGAUGUCAGCUCUCUCCAGUGCACAUCUCUCUUUCUCUUCCACCCACAUCCCAAGCAUAUAUUGGUUUAAGUCCAGUGCACCUGCAAAACCUGAGACAAAGGAACAUGCACCAGCGCCUCAUGGCCAGCAAUGGCUGGUCAGUGAUCUCAACCAAAAGACAGGGGCUCUGGACCCAGCAGGACCAGCCUAGAUGCCCUGCCUGCCUACGUCCCUGGUUCUUUCCUCAGCCACUCCUGCCUGGAGAGAAGCUCGUGAGAGGACAGAAGGCAAACACAGAGGGAGUUCAUCUGAGCCCCAAGUGUUCCCCUGGGUGCCCCCUGAUUACUACCACAGUCUUAGGAGUAGACAGAGGCAGGAGGGCAAGUGAGGAGGGUUCUAAGCACACUUGGAAGCAGUAAAGGGGCCUACAAAUCUGGCAAGGACAAGAAGACAGCUUUGCAAAAAAUCACAGACCCACAGGAAAAGCAACCUUCUCACCCAGCAGGGCAAUACUUCCACUAGCUGCUCCUGAGAACUGCUUCUCUCUCUCAGCCUAGACUGGCCUGACCUUGGGUCAGAACCAUGGGAUCUCCAUCCACAGGCCAUUCCCUCACUCACAGAGGCCAAGACAUCUUCCCCACGGGAGGAAUGCUACAUCAGACUUCUCUAGUCUUCAGGCUGCACUGAGAUACCCCUCCACUGACACAGAUCUUACCUGCUAACCCUCUGGACUCUAGUCCCAAACCAUGACAUUUUCCAGACCACCAUAUUUAGGGCAGAAUUCAGUGUGGCCUGGAAUUGUGCUUUGUGAUGAUGUGUCGAAUGAAUGAAUGCAUUGAUUAAUAUAUAAUAAAUUAUGAGUAUUCGAUGAA